UACGUAGGUGGCAAGCGCUGUCCGGAAUUAUUGGGCGUAAAGCGCGCGCAGGCGGUCCUUUAAGUCUGAUGUGAAAGCCCACGGCUCAACCGUGGAGGGUCAUUGGAAACUGGGGGACUUGAGUACAGAAGAGAAGAGUGGAAUUCCACGUGUAGCGGUGAAAUGCGUAGAGAUGUGGAGGAACACCAGUGGCGAAGGCGGGUCUCUGGGCCGAUACUGACGCUGAGGAGCGAAAGCUAGGGGAGCAAACAGG
rnacentral:rRNA from 1 species